rnacentral:tRNA from 1 species
GGUUUCGUGGUGUAGUUGGUUAUCACGCCAGUCUAACACACUGGAGGUCUCCGGUUCAAGUCCGGGCGAAAUCA